AUUCCAGCUCCAAUAGCGUAUAUUAAAGUUGUUGCAGUUAAAAAGCUCGUAGUUGGAUUUCUGGUUUGAUGCCCUGGCCCGCUGCUAUUUUGGUAGUGUGUGCCGGUUGUGCGUCUGCCAUCCUUCUAGGGAACGUUCCUUCUCUUCACUGAGCCGGGUUCGUGAUCUAGAUCGUUUACUUUGAAAAAAUUAGAGUGUUUAAAGCAGGCUUUUGCUAUGAAUACAUUAGCAUGGAAUAAUAAUCUAGGACUUCGGUCAUAUUUUGUUGGUUUCUGUAACUGAAGUAAUGAUUGAUAGGGACAGUUGGGGGUAUUUGUAUUCCAUAGUCAGAGGUGAAAUUCUUGGAUCUAUGGAAGACAAACUAAUGCGAAAGCAUCUACCAAGGAUGUUUUCAUU
rnacentral:rRNA from 1 species